CAUCAAUAGGAUACUAAAGCCCAUCAGGAUACUUUAACCAUUUUCUGUCAUCAGACAUUCCCUUAGAGACAAAUGGCUGUUAACAGGAAACGGCACUGGCCUGGCUAGCACUCGUUUCUUUGGUGUUUCUUUGGACUCGUUUCUUCGGCGCAAACAAUGGUGUUGAAGCGCAGAAGCGGCAAACGGCUCAUGGUACGAGGGGCUUCAGCGCAGCCCAUUGGAGCUGCGAACUGCAUGCUGAUUUAUAGGCCCUGGUGGUGAGACACGGGGGCCUUGUAAGACUUACUUCCCACUUGCUGUGCUGUGCCUGCCCAGAGCUACCACCCCUCCCUGCCCCCACCACCCCCACCAUCACCACCCCC
rnacentral:lncRNA from 1 species